rnacentral:rRNA from 1 species
UACGUAGGGGGCUAGCGUUGUCCGGAAUCAUUGGGCGUAAAGAGCGUGUAGGCGGCCCGGUAAGUCCGCUGUAAAAGUCAAAGUCUCAACCUUUGAAUGUCAGUGGAUACUGCCGGGCUAGAGUCCGGAAGAGGCGAGUGGAACUCCUGGUGUAGCGGUGGAAUGCGCAGAUAUCAGGAAGAACACCAACGGCGAAGGCAGCUCGCUAGGACGGUACUGACGCUGAGACGCGAAAGCGUGGGGAGCGAACAGG